UUAUCAACUUCAACUUAUGUCUUUUAGUGAUCAUUGCAUAACUGGUAGCAGCAAUGCUAGAGCUUUGUCUGUUCAUAGAGGUCAAUGAGUGAUUAUUGUAUACUGGAAAUGCUUGAGCUUUGCCCUGUCUCAUUUUAUGCCUACAUUUCUUGUCAACCCUUCGCAGGAAACCGACUCAUAUCUUCUGUACAAGUUUGAAGCCCCAAUGAUGAUUCUUGUUGCAGUGAUAUCGAAAGCUCUGUAUACAAGAAGUCCAAGUUUAAUCUUUUGACUUAACAUCAGACAGGAUCUGGCUAUGUGAAGUGCAGUUGGAAUAUUGCGGAAAGAACUGUUGAAUGGAUGGCCCUCAGGCUGCACAAAGGAUGUACUUGAGGAGCUUGUGCCUCAUACAAACUUGAAUAAGCUACAGAUCCAUAAUUAUGGUGGCACAAGAUUUCGAGGUUGGUUAGGAGAUGAUUCAUUCUGCAAUAUUUUAUCUGUAAGCUUUCAAAAUUGUGAAAAUUUAUGUAUCUUGCUACCCCUUGGGAAAUUACCUUCCCUGAAACACCUUUCCAUUGAAGGUUUUGAUGAACUAGUGACUGUUGGUCCUGAGUUUUAUGGGAACAAUUCUCUUGCGGCUCAGCGGUUUCUAUCUCUUGAGAUAUUAAAGUGUAGUUGGAUGUCUGCAUGGGAGGAAUGGUGCUCCAUCAGAGUUAAAGAUGAAUUUAUUGCUUUCCCUCGUCUGCAAGAGCUUCACUUAGAUGUUCUUUUGAAGUACCAAGAUCAGCACAGAGCUUUGUUAGGUCUGCUUAAGUUAUCAAAUUUCUUAAAGCAGAGUUUCAUGCAAUUCUGCAGGCUUCUAGUUCUCACAAAAUUGAGGCUUUUACAACAUUCCACCAGAUGAUUAUCGCAUAAUUACUUUUUUUGGUGACUACUUCGAGCAUUGUAAGCAUUGGAACAAUGGAGAAAAUCUCUAGUAUUAUUCGGGCACUAGUCAAGUUUGGUAAAAACCAAUCAAAACCAGAAAAUGGGGUCAAAAAUGGGUUUUUGACCGUUCCCGUUUUUAAAACCAUGCAUCUAAUUAGUUUUUUUUUUUUUUUUUUUUCAAAACACCAAUUGGGUAAAGACAUUAUAGAUUUGGGGUUAAUCAAAGAAUUAUAAACCUUUAAGUUAGGACUUAAGCCACUUUUGGGGUUUUUGAUGUUCUUAAUCUUUUUAUGUCAAUUGAAGUAUCCGUUUGGAUACUAAUGAAA